UCAAGAAGUAAAUAAAAACAUCUCAAGGUGGGAAGGAAAAUAUUUGUCUAGAGAAAGAUUGAAAACAUGAUCGUGUGUACGUUGGGGCCAGCACCCGGCAGCCUGCUGAUGUCCCUGAGCAGAAAUAGCCCGUUUCAUCAUCAGCUCUGGACGAGCCAGGCCUGCAUUCCUCGAGUAAGGAGCCACUCUCCGCUGAGUUUUGGAGCAAUGAUCUGCCCAGCUGCAGGCUGGGGACAGGCCAGGCUGGGGUAUGGGGGACAGUUCGGAAGGCGGUGAAUAAUCAGAAGGAGUCAGGAGCAGCGACAACAUUUCUCCAUGAGAGCACAGAUUUCUUCAGGGGACUUCUGCAGGAACCUGAUGCCUGUCACCAGGGGAUACUGCACACCAGAAGCCCUCUGAGUGUGGCUCUGGGGCCAGCAGCAGCAGCAGUGCGGAGCCGACUGGAAAUGCAGGUCAUCAGCCAGGGGGUGCUCCCAAAGUUCUGCUUCACAACACCCCUGGAAGGUGUCCUCCUCAGUCUCCUGUCCUAAGGAAGCACCUUCCCCUGUAGGCCU